rnacentral:lncRNA from 1 species
ACAUUUUCUGUUGUUUACGGCAGGUUAAUUAUGUCGUUCUUAUAAUUUUCUGAUUUUUUAUGGAAAAAGUGAUUUUUCUGUACACUGUUAGAGUUUAUUCUGUUCCGUAAGGCUUGUUUAAUCUCUUGAAAAUGGAAUAUUAAUAAUACACACUCAGCACAUAAAGACCACCUAAAAGAAGACACCUGGAUAUCCCCUUGUAUAAUUUUGAUGUUUUUGGCCAUCAUUCAGAUUUACGAGAUGGGUUUUCCAUGAUCUGAUUAAAAUUUUUGUACGACAAAUCAAUGGAUGUAUACAGUUCCAGGGCAGUACAUUUAUCCUUUUGAUGAAUAUUAAAUGCAUCAGGAAUAAUUAAGAUUUUCUACAACAUAUCGAUGGAUGUAUACAGUUCUAGGGCAGUACAUUUAUCCUUUUCGCAAAUAUUACAAACAAUGCAUCAGGUCUUAUAAGUAUAUAUCUAAAAAUUUUAUUUCUUUUGGAUAAAUACAUAUAUUUUUACUGGUUUUUAAUGUUCAUCAGUGGAUUUCAUUGUUUUUACAUUUAAGCAAGUAAGAAAAAAAUUUCAAUGAGUCUCUGAGUUAUAUUUUAUUGAUUCUUUAUUAUAAUUGACAAAUCCAGACCAACUAUUUUUUAUUUAGGCCAUUUCUCUUUCUUUUUGGUAGAGUACCAUCUACUUAGAAUUUUACUUCAUCUGGUUUUUGGUUUACUUUUAUUUCUCUAUAAUAGCUUUGCUCCCAUAAAUUCUCCAUUGUAGGCAUAAUAACAUCAUUCAUCAAUUCUGUAAAAUAUACCAGUGAUUGUAUUUUUAUGUCUUCUUUUAUUUGUAUUAUUUUUAUUAUUGUGUCAUUUUUUUAAUACUUUUUAGCUUGUGUAGUUUCUUGUAGAGUUGAUGGAUUCAUUUUCUCAGAUCAUAUGCUAUGAAUUACUGUAAUUUUACAGAUUAUGUUGGUUUAGUAACUCAAUAACACCACAACACUUAAAAAUUCCACAUUAAUUCCUAGCGCAUUCGCCAUUUACUCAAUAAAAUUGACGUCUAUGAUGUCACUUCUGGCUUUCGUAGCAUUUUUCCCAAUGAAUUUUCCUAAGUAACAUCGACUCCAGAGCAUCAUAGCUAGCCUCCCCUAAGAGGAGGAGACCCGGGUCACCCCCUAACCCUGAUGUUCGGCCAUCGAUGACCUAUGUAGCAUGCAUAGGUACCCAAGGGAGUCACCACCCUCUGGUUUACGAGCUAGGUGUUCUAACGCUAGAGGCUUCGGCCGGAUACGACCUGGCACCCAAGCUACGAGGCUUCUUCGUGCACGUAUCCCGUGACGUCUCGACAGUAGAGGGGGCGGGAUAUCGGACACAUUGAAGAUGAGGAGGGGGGUCCGCCUGUAGGGGGUCCCGGUGGGUGUCCGCUCGAUGGGUGACGAGGGUGACCCGAGACGAGGCUGCUUAGCUGGGAUGGGAACUGACUGGUGAGGCUUAAUCGUCGGCCAAGGGUUAAAUCUGAUGAAGGGGGCGAACCUAUAUGCUCUGGAGGAUUUUUUUCUAUGUGCUUUAUGUCAUAUAUUGACCAGAUAUUUCUGAGAGGAGGUUUUUCUAAUCGCAGCUUUUUGUCAAUUCCCCAUUUCUUAUUGACCACAUAUUUCUUUACUUUUUUAAGUUUUUGUCUUGUCAUAUUUUCUUUAUUAAUGCAAUAUCAUCAUUCAUCAAUUCUAUAAACUCCUCCUUUUUGUGUCAUUCUUCUGAGACACAUAUUUCAUCAAUUCUAUGGUCUGUUUAGCAUUAUAGCUUUUUAUUUAUUUUCAUGCCAUUUUAUCCCAAUUCAACCUCCAUGUUUAUGCCAUUUUAUCCGAUUCAUCAUAUCUUUAUUUAAUUUUUUCACUCAUAUUUUCUUGAUUAUUGGAAUAUCAUUCAUGAAUUCUGUUUAAUAGGUACUCUUCCAAUGACUGUCUUAUAUAUUUGUAUAUUUUUUGUGAUUUAUUCAUUUUUAUGCCAUUUGACUCAAUAUAUCCACCAUUUAUUUUUUUCAAUGCAUCAUAUAUCUAUUUCACUAUUGUCUCUCAUGUAUUCUUCUUAUGAGAAUGUCAUUAUUCAAUUCUAUGAGAUCAUAGAAUUUUUCUAUUGAUUGCAUUUCUAAGUCUUCUUAUAUGUAUAAUUUUUUGUGUCAUUCAAGUUAUGCAUUUUUUCCCAUACCUUUAUUUCUUUAUUUGUCUCCGUCACCCAUAUUAUCUGUAUUCUAUGAAAUAUAUCAUUUCUAUAUACUCUUCAUUUUGUUUCUAAAUCCAUUUAAAAUUAAGUUUUUGUAUGGGAUAUUGUACUGCUUUGGAACAAGGUUUUUUUGGGACAGCUGCACCUCAACAGCCCCCUUCAAGAUGCCAUUAGGUGGAUUAAAAUCAACAUUUAACAGUGGAUUGAAAAUAAAAUUCAUCAUUCAAGAGGAAAUUAAAUAAUUUUAGAACGAAGACUUUCCAGAAGGGUAGCCAGAAGAUUUAUUUACCUCAACAUAGACAUCCGCAUGUUCAUCAGCG